rnacentral:tRNA from 1 species
GCCAGCAUGGUGUAGUGGUUUGAGUGCUGGACUAUGACUCUGAAGACCAGGAUUCGAGUCCCUGCUUGGCC